UACGAAGGGGGCUAGCGUUGUUCGGAAUUACUGGGCGUAAAGCGCGCGCAGGUGGUCUUUCAAGUCAGUGGUGAAAGCCCGGAGCUCAACUCCGGAAAUGCCAUUGAAACUGUGAGACUUGAGGACGAGAGAGGUGAGUGGAAUUCCCAGUGUAGAGGUGAAAUUCGUAGAUAUUGGGAAGAACACCGGUGGCGAAGGCGGUUCACUGGCUCGUAUCUGACGCUCAGGCGCGACAGCGUGGGGAUCAAACAGG
rnacentral:rRNA from 1 species